AAAUUGAAGAGUUUGAUCAUGGCUCAGAUUGAACGCUGGCGGCAGGCCUAACACAUGCAAGUCGAGCGGUAGCACAGAGAGCUUGCUCUCGGGUGACGAGCGGCGGACGGGUGAGUAAUGUCUGGGAAACUGCCUGAUGGAGGGGGGAUAACUACUGGAAACGGUAGCUAAUACCGCAUAAUGUCGCAAGACCAAAGUGGGGGACCUUCGGGCCUCAUGCCAUCAGAUGUGCCCAGAUGGGAUUAGCUAGUAGGUGGGGUAACGGCUCACCUAGGCGACGAUCCCUAGCUGGUCUGAGAGGAUGACCAGCCACACUGGAACUGAGACACGGUCCAGACUCCUACGGGAGGCAGCAGUGGGGAAUAUUGCACAAUGGGCGCAAGCCUGAUGCAGCCAUGCCGCGUGUGUGAAGAAGGCCUUCGGGUUGUAAAGCACUUUCAGCGGGGAGGAAGGCGUUAAGGUUAAUAACCUUGGCGAUUGACGUUACCCGCAGAAGAAGCACCGGCUAACUCCGUGCCAGCAGCCGCGGUAAUACGGAGGGUGCAAGCGUUAAUCGGAAUUACUGGGCGUAAAGCGCACGCAGGCGGUCUGUCAAGUCGGAUGUGAAAUCCCCGGGCUCAACCUGGGAACUGCAUUCGAAACUGGCAGGCUAGAGUCUUGUAGAGGGGGGUAGAAUUCCAGGUGUAGCGGUGAAAUGCGUAGAGAUCUGGAGGAAUACCGGUGGCGAAGGCGGCCCCCUGGACAAAGACUGACGCUCAGGUGCGAAAGCGUGGGGAGCAAACAGGAUUAGAUACCCUGGUAGUCCACGCCGUAAACGAUGUCGAUUUGGAGGUUGUGCCCUUGAGGCGUGGCUUCCGGAGCUAACGCGUUAAAUCGACCGCCUGGGGAGUACGGCCGCAAGGUUAAAACUCAAAUGAAUUGACGGGGGCCCGCACAAGCGGUGGAGCAUGUGGUUUAAUUCGAUGCAACGCGAAGAACCUUACCUUGGUCUUGACAUCCACAGAACUUUCCAGAGAUGGAUUGGUGCCUUCGGGAACUGUGAGACAGGUGCUGCAUGGCUGUCGUCAGCUCGUGUUGUGAAAUGUUGGGUUAAGUCCCGCAACGAGCGCAACCCUUAUCCUUUGUUGCCAGCGGUUAGGCCGGGAACUCAAAGGAGACUGCCAGUGAUAAACUGGAGGAAGGUGGGGAUGACGUCAAGUCAUCAUGGCCCUUACGACCGGGCUACACGUGCUACAAUGGCAUAUACAAAGAGAAGCGACCUCGCGAGAGCAAGCGGACCUCAUAAAGUAUGUCGUAGUCCGGAUUGAGUCUGCAACUCGACUCCAUGAAGUCGGAAUCGCUAGUAAUCGUAGAUCAGAAUGCUACGGUGAAUACGUUCCCGGGCCUUGUACACACCGCCCGUCACACCAUGGGAGUGGGUUGCAAAAGAAGUAGGUAGCUUAACCUUCGGGAGGGCGCUUACCACUUUGUGAUUCAUGACUGGGGUGAAGUCGUAACAAGGUAACCGUAGGGGAACCUGCGGUUGGAUCACCUCCUUACCUUAAAGAA
rnacentral:rRNA from 1 species